GCGGGAUUAGUAUAAUGGUAGUACAUAUCCUUCCCAAGGAUAGGGCGCCGGUCCGAUUCCGGUAUCCCGCUCAA
rnacentral:tRNA from 2 species